UACAGAGGUGGCAAGCGUUGUUCGGAAUCACUGGGCGUAAAGAGUGCGUAGGCGGUUAUGAAAGUUAGAAGUGAAAGCCCUGGGCUCAACCCAGGAAUUGCUUUUAAUACUACAUGACUCGAAUUCGGGAGAGGAUAGCGGAAUUGUCAGUGUAGCAGUGAAAUGCGUAGAUAUUGACAGGAACACCGGUGGCGUAAGCGGCUAUCUGGACCGACAUUGACGCUGAGGCACGAAAGCGUGGGGAUCAAACAGG
rnacentral:rRNA from 1 species